rnacentral:rRNA from 1 species
UACGGGGGGGGCAAGCGUUGUUCGGAAUUACUGGGCGUAAAGGGCUCGUAGGCGGCCAACUAAGUCGGAUGUGAAAUCCCCAGGCUCAACUUGGGAACUGCAUCCGAUACUGGAUGGCUUGAAUUCGGGAGAGGGAUGCAGAAUUCCAGGUGUAGCGGUGAAAUGCGUAGAUAUCGGGAGGAACACCGGUGGCGAAGGCGGCGACCUGGGUCGACACUGACGCUCAGACACGACAGCAUGGGGAGCGAACGGG